GAUGAACGCUAGCGGCAGGCCUAAUACAUGCAAGUCGAACGGUGUAGCAAUACACAGUGGCGCACGGGUGCGUAACACGUAUGCACCCUACCUUACAUUGGGGGAUAGCCUUUCGAAAGGGAGAUUAAUACCGCAUAAGACAGUAACUAGGCAUCUAGUAGCUGUUAAAGAUUUAUCGAUGUAAGCUGGGCAUGCGUCCCAUUGGUUAGUCGGCGAGGUAAUGGCUCACCAAGACGAGGAUGGGUAGGGGAAAGGGGAGGUCAAUCCCCCACACUGGCACUGAGAUACGGGCCAGACUCCUACGGGAGGCAGCAGUAGGGAAUAUUGGGCAAUGGGCGCAAGCCUGACCCAGCCAUGCCGCGUGCAGGAAGAAGGCGUUAUGCGUUGUAAACUGCUUUUAUACAGGAAGAAACGACCCUUGCGAGGGGCAUUGACGGUACUGUAUGAAUAAGCACCGGCUAACUCCGUGCCAGCCGCCGCCGUAAGAC
rnacentral:rRNA from 1 species